AACGAACGCUGGCGGCAUGCCUAACACAUGCCAGUCGAACGAGACCUUCGGGUCUAGUGGCGCACGGGUGCGUAACGCGUGGGAACCUGCCCUUAGGUUCGGAAUAACUCCCCGAAAGGGGUGCUAAUACCGGAUAAUGUCUUCGGACCAAAGAUUUAUCGCCCUUGGAUGGGCCCGCGUUGGAUUAGCGAGUUGGUAGGGUAAAAGCCUACCAAGGCGACGAUCCAUAGCUGGUCUGAGAGGAUGAUCAGCCACACUGAGACUGAGACACGGCCCAGACUCCUACGGGAGGCGGCAGUGGGGAAUAUUGGACCAUGGACGAAAGCCUGAUCCAGCAAUGCCGCGUGAGUGAUGAAGGCCUUAGGGUUGUAAAGCUCUUUUACCCGGGAUGAUAAUGACAGUACCGGGAGAAUAAGCUCCGGCUAACUCCGUG
rnacentral:rRNA from 1 species